rnacentral:tRNA from 1 species
GAUGCUUUGGGCAGGGAUGCCAACAUUCGUAAUGAUGGGGUCAGAGGUUCGAGUCCUCUAAGCGGCACCA